rnacentral:rRNA from 1 species
CCCCUAGACGUUCUGGGCUGCACGCGCGCUACAAUAAUACGCACAGCGAGUAUCACCGAGCUCGAAAGGGCAAGGUAAACAAUAGAAAAGGUACUGUAAUGGUUAUAGAUCCUUGUAAUUAUUGAUCUUCAACGAGGAAUUCCUAGUAAGUAUGUGUCAUCAUCACGCACUGAUUACGUCCCUGCCCUUUGUACACACCGCCCGUCGCUCCUACCGAUUGAGUGAGCCGAUGAAACUGCCGGAUGUGGACUAUUCAUAGUCUGCAGAAGAUAUUUGAAUCGUAGCGCUUAGGGGAAGGAGAAGUCGUAACA